GGGGCUGUAGCUCAGCCUGGGAGAGCACACGAUGGAAGUAAGUCGGUUUUUAAUUCAACUCGAUUUUUUUCAUGUGCAGCUGAAGUUCCAGGGGGAGCGGCCACCGUGGUGUCGCGGGUUCAAAUCCCGCCAGCCCCA
rnacentral:tRNA from 1 species